rnacentral:rRNA from 1 species
UACGGAGGGUGCAAGCGUUAUCCGGAUUCACUGGGUUUAAAGGGUGCGUAGGCGGGUAAGUAAGUCCGUGGUGAAAUCUCUGAGCUUAACUCAGAAACUGCCGUGGAUACUAUUUGCCUUGAAUAUUGUGGAGGUGAGCGGAAUAUGUCAUGUAGCGGUGAAAUGCUUAGAUAUGACAUAGAACACCAAUUGCGAAGGCAGCUCACUACACAAUCAUUGACGCUGAUGCGCGAAAGCGUGGGGAGCAAACGGG